GGUAGGUUGCUUCCCGCGCGCUUGUGAGAGGGGAAGAGGAUUCGCUUCACUUCCCCACCGCCCUCUCCGCGACUCCACGGCGUCUCAUACCGAUUCACAAGGAGUCUCGUUGCUCUUCCGCGCCGUUACAGUGAGCGGGGCCUCUGCGGCUGCUACCGUUUCACUGAAGCCAGGAUGCCUUGCACAGGGCUUGGGCCCUGGGUCUGAGGGGAGCCGCAGGGUCCAGGGGCGGGGAAUGGUGAGGUGGCGUGGGUCCGCCCUCCCCCCGACGCGGAGCGUGUUUGUGUUUGUGUCGGACACUCCGCCCCCGCUAGUGCGCCUCCUCACUUCUUCCUUACUCAGCCCUGCACCUGGAGACAUCUGACCGCUGCCGCGUUUUCUUCCCUCAGUCCCCGCAACCUCCGGUGCUUGUGCACGGACUUCCAGGGACCGGCCUCAGGUCACCGUCACCUCCUGAGAAUUCCUUCCUGCCUCUUCUGUGUUCUCUUCCUCACGUUAACAUCCUACUGCCAUAAGAUGGUGUGUUAAAGGACGGGACAUAAGAUGGUGUGUUAAAGGACGGGAUAUGCCUUAACGUGCUCCUGUGGGCACAGUGGGGCCGAGGGCAUCGGACAUGCCCCUUGACACCGCGACCAGCCAAGCAACGAAUGCCAAGCUGCUACAGAAAGUGCCCCGGGCUCCCCAGCUGGGGCAGUGGGGACCUGGGGCCUCAGCCAUGACCCCACCCCAAUACCUGCAACCGUCCCAGCGGUGACCACUGAGCCACCACAGGAAGCGCCCUGGGCUCCUGAGCUGGGUUGGUGGGGGGCCAAGGGCUUCAGCUGCACCCUCUGUCAUCUGUAUCCAGCCCAGCAAUGACCAAGCCACCACUGGAAGCCCCCUUGUCUCCCCUGCAGGAAUGAGGGUGGUGCCACGGACCUCAACCAUGCUCUCCUCCCUCCUCCUCCCAACCUAUUUCCUUUCCCCUUCUCCUCUCCCCUCCUCCCAACUGCUCUGUAACAACAUCUUAGAAUGUAAAAAAAUAAUAUUAAUAAAUAACCUUAAAUGAAAAAAAGAAUUCUUCUGAGAAAUCACAAAUAUUAAAGAAUGUGUUAGUGGAUCACCAGGCAUUUGAGAAGCAAAGGUUUAAGAGUUUGAGGUUUUGAAUAGCUAAGACCUAGAAUUUUAUCCAACUAAAAUACAUGCAAGCUGAGUGCCCUAGGGAAAGAUGUUUACCUCUCUCAGCCUUGCUUUUGCUUCCUGAACAUUGUGUAUAGAAAUAUUUUUAUGCCUUCUAGGGUUGUAAAAAUCUGUAAAGAUGACUUAU